AGGGGGUCCUGAAUCGGAAAUACAAAUGGGAACGUUAUGGUGAAGAAGAACUUUUGAUACGCGCUGCUUGUUAUUUACAUAAGUGAUCAAGCUUGGCAGGGGAGUUUUCCUAGGGCAUCACCUGGGCUUUGACAGCUACUGUACAGAAGGGAUCCACAUCUUCUGACCUGGUCAAGACGAGCUGAGAUAAAGGACUGUAUCUUCUGCUGUCGACCCCCUCCUCUGCAACCCGCUCAAGUACGAAUAAAGGAGAGACAAAACAUGGCCUGUCAGAGGGAUGCAGAUGCCCUGAUCUCCUGUAAGGUUUUCUGAAAUCCUGCAUUAUGCAGCUUUGAUGUUUAUGCUCCAGAUUCCCAGGAGAAUUAGGACAGACUAAUGACAUCUCCCAUGCUGACUGUCAGAACUGCCCCUAAGAUGAUCCUUUUGACUGCUGGAUGUCACUCAAUCUCAGGAUAGACUUGAGUAACAGCUUGUCAGAAAGAUCGCCCUGGAUUCAAGUCAUCUAGCAUUGUGUUUAUAUUCAAGACGGUCUAACUGGUUCGGAGGUCAAAAAAACAAUUUUUACUAUCUUGUAGCAAUACUAAAUCUGAGAGAAAAUUGUCUGCGCUGAGAUAUACCUGUAUAAGGCGAUAUAUCAGUAUGCUGUCCUGGAUAAUUAAGAAUAAGCAUGCUUGUUAUGUUUUUUAAUUGAAUUCUCCUGUUAUCAUUUGAAACUGUCACAGCCCUGUAAUGAAAAAUACUGAGCAGCUCAUUACUUACUAUGACCAGCUCAUGAGGGAGAAAUUAUUGCAAGGUCACCAGACAUCAAUGAUGUGAAA